CGUCUGCUGUGUUUACUUCGGUUGGAAACCGUUGGAACUAGUGGUUUGAACAAAGUUUAAUUAACAUUAUGUAAUGAAGUCUUUUUAUUUAUUGAUGACGAAAUGGUUCGAGUUCAUGAGUGUGACGAUCCAGCAGACAUGAAUUUUCUCAGAAAAUAAAAAAUUGUUAUGAUCCAGGAGGACAGUUGCUGAACAGUCAGUCAGUAGCUCUAAGUCAACCUCGAGUGAUUCCCAGAAUAUCAGGAUUAUCAUGUAAAAAAACAUCGAGGAGUACUCAUGAGUGGGAGGAAUAUGAAAGGGACGGAAAGCCUGAAAUCAGGGGAUAAGAUCGUUUCUGAUGAAGUUGACGAUUCACAGAAGGAGGACGGGGUUCUUCAACUAUAUGAAUCCACCUGAGGAAGCCGCCACGUUGUUCGGUUGGGUCAUUCAUUCAAUGGGGACAACUGGGAGAAGUCUCCCUACACAUAACCCGCAACCGCCCCGGUUGCCGUCUACUACGAGCUUCUGAUGUAGACUCCCCAUAUAGACGAGAACCUGCGGCGCUACCCCAUCUCCUUCACGAAUAACCUGGAGAUUACAGCCUACGUCAAUGUAAAAGAGAGGCCCCCAACCCAGAGGUCAGAGCCUUCCCCAGCAUCCUCUGGGGUUACUACGGGAACGGUUGUUCAGUGCGAAUGCUGAAACCCCAGACGUUAAUCCCCAAGCUGCACAACCUGAACGCCUCCCUCCAAGAAUUCUUCGGCUGUUUCGUUGGUGCAAACUUCUACCUGACGCCCCCAGGAUCCCAAGGAUUCGCCCCCACUAUGACAACAUCGAGAAAACGCUGUCUUUUAUAUAAACCCAGGAACACCUCUGAGUUUCUCCCCAGGUUCUCCUCAAAGAACGUUGAUUCCUCAGAGAUUGAAGAAGCGAUUUUGGAUGUUCUUCUCAGUUUUGGGGACCUUUUGUACUUCCCCAAGGGGACGAUCCACCAGGGGGAGACAAUGGGUGAUGCCCAAUUGCCCACAGCUUCCACGUGACCCUUGGUGUGUAGCAGAAGAACUGCUGGGGUGACUUCUUGGAGAAACUUGUGCCUGAGGCAUUGAAAACUGCAAUUGCUGAAGACCCAGAAUUCAGGGAGGUAUUGCCUAUGACAUGACCCGCACACUAAAGCUUCAGGAGUACCGAAAUACCAAGAAGAAAAUCAGACAAGUUUCGAGAAAAUAAUUGGAAAAUGAAACAAUGAUGAUACUAAUCAGCUUAAAUCUUCAAUAUAAUAUAAUACUAUUAUCUCGAAUCUUACUUGAAAAUGUCUAAUUUUUGUAGCUUAUAGAUCGGAAUAAAUCAUUUUGCUCACAA